GAACGCUGGCGGCGUGCCUAACACAUGCAAGUCGAACGUGAAGUCUAUACUUGUAUAGGCUGAAAGUGGCGAACGGGUGAGUAACACGUAGGUGACCUGCCCCGAGAUGGGGGAUAACUCCUUGAAAGAGGAGCUAAUACCCCAGAUGUCUAGGUCGUUGGAGGGCUUAGACUAAAACCUUGGUGUCUGGGGAGGGGCCUGCGGGCUAUCAGCUAGUUGGUGGGGUAAGGGCCUACCAAGGCGAAGACGGCUAGGGGGCGUGAGAGCGCGAUCCCCCACAAGGGAACUGAGAGACGGUCCCUACUCCUACGGGAGGCAGCAGUGAGGAAUAUUGAGCAAUGGGCGCAAGCCUGACUCAGCAACGCCGCGUGGAUGAAGACGGCCUUCGGGUUGUAAAAUCCUUUUCUGCGGGACGAUGAUGACGGUACCGCAGGAACAAGUUCCGGCUAACUACGCGCCAGCAGCCGCGGUAAAACGUAGGGGACAAGCGUUAUCCGGAUUUACUGGGCGUAAAGCGCCCGUAGGCGGCUAUGUAAGUUGGCUGUGAAAGCUCCCGGCUUAACUGGGAGAGGUCAGUCAAAACUGGGUAGCUAGAGGCUGAGAGAGGCGAGCGGAAUUCCCGGUGUAGUGGUGGAAUGCGUAGAGAUCGGGAGGAACACCAGUGGCGAAAGCGGCUCGCUGGUUCAGCCCUGACGCUGAGGGGCGAAAGCGUGGGGAGCGAACGGGAUUAGAUACCCCGGUAGUCCACGCCGUAAACGAUGGAUACUAGGUGUAGGCGGUCAUUAACCCCGUCUGUGCCGCAGCCAACGCGUUAAGUAUCCCGCCUGGGGAGUACGGCCGCAAGGUUAAAACUCAAAGGAAUUGACAGGGGCCCGCACAAGCAGCGGAGCGUGUGGUUUAAUUCGACGCAACGCGAAGAACCUUACCUGGGCUAGAAUGCGGUGGAUAAGCCGUGGAGACACGGCGAUCCGGGUAACCGGCUCCUGCCUGCAAGGUGCUGCAUGGCUGUCGUCAGCUCGUGUCGUGAGAUGUUGGGUUAAGUCCCGCAACGAGCGCAACCCUUACCGUGUGUUGCUAACAUUAAGUUGAGAACUCGCACGGAACUGCCGGUGAUAAACCGGAGGAAGGUGGGGAUGACGUCAAGUCCUCAUGGCCUUUAUGUCCAGGGCUACACACGUGCUACAAUGGACGGUACAAACCGCUGCAAAGUCGCGAGACGGAGCUAAUCGGAAAAAACCGUUCUCAGUUCGGAUUGGAGUCUGCAACUCGACUCCAUGAAGUUGGAAUCGCUAGUA
rnacentral:rRNA from 1 species